rnacentral:rRNA from 1 species
AUUGAACGCUGGCGGCAGGCCUAACACAUGCAAGUCGAACGAGUGGCGGACGGGUGAGUAAUGUCUGGGAAACUGCCUGAUGGAGGGGGAUAACUACUGGAAACGGUAGCUAAUACCGCAUACCAUCGGAUGUGCCCAGAUGGGAUUAGCUAGUAGGUGGGUUAACGGCUCAACUAGGCGACGAUCCCUAGCUGGGCUGAGAGGAUGACCAGCCACACUGGACCUGAGACACUGUCCAGACUCCUACUGUAGGCAGCAGUGGGGAAUAUUGCACAAUGGUCGCAAGCCUGUUGCAGCCAUGCCGCGUGUAUGAAGAAGGCCUUCGGGUUGUAAAGUACUUUCAGCGGAGAGGCGGUACCCGCAGAAGAAGCACCGGCUAACUCCGUGCCAGCAGCCGCGGUAUUC